rnacentral:rRNA from 1 species
CGGCGGACGGGUGAGUAACGCGUGGGUAACCUGCCUCAUACAGGGGGAUAACAGUUGGAAACGGCUGCUAAUACCGCAUAAGCGCACAGUACCGCAUGGUACCGUGUGAAAAACUCCGGUGGUAUGAGAUGGACCCGCGUCUGAUUAGCUAGUUGGUGGGUAACGGCCUACCAAGGCGACGAUCAGUAGCCGACCUGAGAGGGUGACCGGCCACAUUGGGACUGAGACACGGCCCAA